UAGACCGAAAAUUAGCAAAAUUUCCAUUAACAUAUAUUAUCCUUGUGGCACAUCAAUAUCCAUGAAAAUACAGCUAACAUAUAUUGGAAUUUACAAAAAACCAAGCAAGUUCCAAAACAACAGACCUACAAGGCUGAACAACACUUUUUGCGUGCCAUCGGUGCCAGCAAAAACUUACAAAAACCAAACUCUUCAAACCAGUGAAAGCCAAUCGACCAAAAUUGUUUCCAAUGCCGAAAUCUUCCGACCAGCAACAUGAAUAGACACUGGCACCAUGUGUCCAGUAUAUCUCUAACCAUAAUAAGAUUUUGCCAUGGUGCCCCUGACCAUCAUGUGCAUGUCACUCUUAGGACAAGAAUACAUACCACUUUGAAAAAGUACUUCUCCCAUAAUCAAAUCCUUAAUCAGUCGUUUCCACCAUUUGAAAAGUAUCACAGGGCACUUGUAGAUGGCAAUUACUGUGAACAUUAGUGCAUUCAGUAUGAGUCCACAAGCAACAGAACAAUGCCCCAGGAAUAUGAAGGAAUCUGCAAACAGAUAAUUGUAGUCAGCAUUUACCAUUUACAGUUCUCCAAGGAAGAAAAGAAAUGUGCUGCCUAAAUACAGAACAUUGCAUCUAGGGCUCGAUUCUCUCAGCUCUGAGGUCGGGAAUAAAGGGUCAUACAUGUUAAAAGGACCAAAGAGGAAAGGUAAUAUAGAAAAGUUCUGUGAUCUUGAGGCACAAAGGUAAAGCGCUACUAGACAUAAACAAAGAGCAAACCUUAUCUCAUAUGGAUUUCCAUCAGGAGGUCUCUGAAAACGAAGAUCAUCCAUAACUGAAAAAUAGGAGUGGAAAUAAUGUUUUUCAAAUCACUGACCACUGUACAAAUUCGAAUAAUAGUACUCCAUGUUCCAUCAUACAGUUUUGAGAUGGUAAGAAAAAUGUAAAAUAUGUUGUAACAAAGCAGAAAUGUCAUAAACACAAACAGAUAGCAUGCUUGAUGAAGAGAAAAAUGUACCACAAAGAAUUGAACAAAUGGCUUUUCUUUGCCUUCUCCAACUGCAUCGAAUGCGGUCAUUAUUUGUGCUGGAAAGCCAUAUAAUAAUCCAGCAACAGCACUUCCCGAGAUCCAAAAAAUAACCAUAAGAUCAAGGUCACAGUGGAAUCAAUAAGAAGUAGAAGCUUUACUACAGGUCCAACCAUUCUGGUUCACCUCCGUGAAAAUGAGAACGCAUAAUAUGAGUACUUCAACGUGUAUUAAUGUGAUCGUUGAAGUGAAACUGCAGAAGAUACACACUUUAACUGAUGAUGCAGUAGUAUGUCCAAAUAAGUGCGCAUAUUGCAAUUGCCAUAAUAAGGCAUAGCAGAACACCUGUUAGACGAAAUUAUAUGAAGUCAGGGAAUAAGAUGUAUAGUUUUAAAUAUGUAGGAGAAUCAAACAAAAGUGAACUACCAACACAAAUAGAAGUAUGUAAGCACACAACAACAUUGCAGUUUCCGAUUUUACAUACAUCGAUCCCCAUCAAACUCUGUCAUUCAUUUGCAAAGCCAUGGCUGAAUUUGCAUUCACACAUCAGCAGGCAACAUAACUCAACUGAAAUCUUUCGAAAGACAAAAUAAAUCCACAAGGUGAUAUAUGUAUUGACUAAACUUCAUUGUUUGAUUUCUUAAAAAUCUCAUAGAAAAAAAGCUCCAUGAAGUCAAUAAAUAUUUUUCAGUCUUGGUUGUACACAUCAAUGUGCUUGAGAGAUGGCUAGUGUUUUGUCUCUCCAAAAUGAGGCGACAGUGAGUGUUUGUGCCUGCUCUUGCCAUAUCUUAUCCCAAACUCUUUCUCCAGAUAAUAGAGAUUGUAUAAAUCAUAAACUUUGUCAAAACUUGUCCCAAUGUCCGACACAAUCACAUUUUCUAUAGGUUCUCCACAAAACCACUCACCGGUUUCUUGAACGCAGACAUGCACGAAGAGCACGGUGUCCGGCAAGGUGGAGCUGCUCCAAUCCUCAGCCUUCAAUACGUCCUGCUCAUCAGUACCAACACACCAACGCAGCAAUCAGCCUGCGCUCCCAAAUUCACUGCCUGUAAAGCACAUUCUCGUAAACCUUUUUCAUAUUUUGUAUCCCCCCUCCCCUCAGUUGUCAUUAUUUUUCAUUCCCUAUCACCCGUCCACCUGCCAAUCUCCAACCCCCUCCCAGAAAACCCCCAAUCAAUGUAAUGCAUAUUUCAGCAGUGCAAAUGUAUGAUUUCACUGGAAUAACUGAAGCGCUAAAAUACAGUGGGGAUUUCCAACGUUUACGCCAUAAAAGUUAAUUUUUAAAUAGCCUUCGUGAGUCAGCUUCUGCAGGUACCUAAUUUUUUUCUGCUAAACACGGGCCAUCAAUGUGUAAUAUGUGCACUAGUACCCUACGAUUAGAACCAGAAAUGCGUAUUGAAAGAAUAGAAGCCUACUGUAGACAAUACAUCUGCAUUGACGAUGAAGAGCCGCCAAAAUGAACUAUCACGAGGUGUUCCAGGGCUACCUUCAUCCCAAUUAAGUUGUCAAAUUGAUUGGAUCUAGCCUAUGGAGAUAAUUAAAUCUGAGCCUCUAGUGUGGUGUUACAGUGAUUUAUACUGCAAUGUUUUCAUAACAAUGACUGAAGACUGAAUGUUUCAUCAUCAGCAACUACCAUUGUCCUUCACAGACUACAAGUUGGCCCGCACGAACAUUGCCAACUAAUCCAUUUCCUUGCAGACAUUCUAGCCUCUAUUGGUAAUAACAAAACAGAAGUGCACAAUAGCUAUGUCUCCCGUACGCACAUGGGGUUUAUCUUGCCGGUCGAAAGCUCGGAUGCUUGUGGCAAUAUUUCCCGUCUGAUCUCCCUGGCCGCCUGGCCCUUUCUCCCUUGCAGACUUGCACGCCAUUUACGGCCGGCACCGCAACCUCGGCCGCAGCCGGAUCCGACCCUUUCGGCCCGUACUCCACCAGAUCCAUUGGGGUUGAGCUAUCGUCAACUUCCUCAAUGAAGGGGAAU
rnacentral:lncRNA from 1 species